AUGCGUGGAGGCCUCCAAAAUGGCUGCUGCCACCUCAGCAAGGGCCGGAAUGCUCCGGAAACAGGCCGGAGGAAGGCUGGCUGGUGGAGGAGGAACCGCCAGAGACACUCCCACUCCCCCCGUGGCUGCAGCAGCACCCCCUGGAAAGGAUGAGUGUUAAAAACAAGCAAACUCUAGAACCCCCAAAGUGGCUCAAAUUCAAGCUGAGCCACAGGUUCGUUUGGGGUGCCAAAACCAAACAGGCCCGACUUGAUUCGAGUCUGUUUUGGACUCAAACUGAACCGUGCAAUCCAGUUUUGUGCAUAGUCCUCAUCACAGCCCAGCAAAAGGUCUGUGGGUGGGAGCCGACUACAGAGGAAACUCUUGUGUGCACACAGCAGUCGCAAAACGAAAGUGAAACCUAACUCAGAAUUGCUCCAGCAACCAUUUCCAGACUGAGGUUGCUCAACAGACCGCCAAGGAAAUUGGUGUCAGACGGAAGAGCUAUCAUUUCCCUCUCCCUCCAUAUCUGCCCUACUCUCUAGCUGCGUGCCUUAACCACAAAACCAACCCCCUUUCCUCUCACAUCUCACACAGCAGCUUUGGCUUAUGAAGACAAAGGCCUGUUUAUGCCCACCAGCUGUUGCCAGUCUACAGAAACUUGUCCCUUUAAGAGCCAGACUGAAGUUCCAUCAAAUGGAUCAUUUUUUUAAAAACUCCAUGAAACAAGAAAGAAGCUGUGGAAUUUCCUACAAUAUCUAAUAGGGAAAUGAACCCUAAUGUUUUCCAGGCUUAUUUUUGUUUUGCACUUGGGAACGAGAGAGAGAGUUUCCGAUUCUGACCUUGAAACAGAGUUUUGCCACUAGUAUUAAAUUACCGAAAUGUGUACGUUUCAGUUUAUCAUCAGGACGCACAGAGAUAAGAUGAGAUAAUCAUGGAACUUAAUUUCCAAAAAAGCUUUGUGCAACCACUUCCCUAUUUGUCGCUCUGGCAGACCUGCCUCCAGAGAAUGAUGUGAACUGUGAUUAAAGCAUUAUUUAUAUUUUCUGGAGA